rnacentral:rRNA from 1 species
UAGCACGAAGUCAGACAA